rnacentral:rRNA from 1 species
UACGUAGGAGGCGAGCGUUGUCCGGAGUUACUGGGCGUAAAGGGCGCGUAGGCGGUGCGGUAAGUCACCUGUGAAAUCUCCUGGCUCAACUGGGAGCUUGCAGGCGAAACUGCCGUGCUGGAGUGUGGGAGAGGUGCGUGGAAUUCCUGGUGUAGCGGUGAAAUGCGUAGAUAUCAGGAGGAACACCUGUGGCGAAAGCGGCGCACUGGACCACAACUGACGCUGAGGCGCGAAAGCUAGGGGAGCAAACAGG